GUAACGGUCCAGCAAGGCCACAAGCCUUCAGGCAGGAGGGGUUGGCAGUAGAGGGUGGCUUCCUGCUGUGUCCAGGUGGCUUCCUGCUGUGUCCAGCACACAUUACUUCUCAGGACAGUGCAAUUUUCGGAGCCAGGCCAGGAGCCUACAGAUGCGGGGGAGGGCGGCCCUGCUUCCUGCUGUGUCUGGAACAUGCUGGGUCUUGGGAAGAGAGUGAUUUUUUCCCUGCCUGUUUUGAUGACAGGAAAAAUGCAGUCACGUGAGCAGUCAAAGGAUAAUCUUGGCACAUUGUAAUGAUGCUCCAGCAUCAGAAGUUGACCAGAAUUGAUGCAGAAUUGGAGAAGAUGAAGGAAAGAUCAUAUAAAUACUGGAUUCAAGUGCUAAAGAGAGUAGUUGCUGUAAUAAGAUUCCUUGCUGAAUGGGACUAGCCUUUUGUGGGGAUACUGAAAUGCACAGCUGCCUUAGUUGCAAUGAACUUCUAACUAAAUUUGAUCCGUUUCUCUCAAAACACAUGCAAUGACAUGGAAAUCCAGGAAAAGGCUUCAUCCCAUAGAUGGUCUAAACAUGAAGCAAAAUGCCUACGUUGUACAAAGCCCAUGAGAAACAAGAUGGUCUGCACAGAGCGAUGCCACCAGAGCACUUUACAUAAACUGUUCUGAAAUUCAUCAGGCUUUGAUAGACAUAGCUGAAAGUGAUCAACAACCACCAGCAGCUGUCCAUGAGGCAGUCACUGACUAAGAAGCUGGAUCAGUUGGAGAUAACGUUGAUGUGCGUCAUUUGGAAUGACAUAGUACAAAAGAAUAAUCUUGUGGAUAAAGCUCUACAGGAGCCUGGCAUUGAGUUGUGCACUGUCAUGAAUUUACAGAGGGUUUUUAGAACACUUUCGUGAUUCCCGUGAUAAAUUUCAUAUGUUUGAGGCAAUUGCAAAAGAUCUCACACCAACCGACUACAAUGAGACUACACAACGCGACAGACCAAUUUUUGGAUGAAGUCUAUAUGGGUAGCAUUGUCUUGGAUUUGUGUACCAGUGACAAAUUUCACACAUGGUGCUUCUAUUUUAUCACGGAUAAACUUAUUGUUAAGA